rnacentral:rRNA from 1 species
GACGAACGCUGGCGGCGUGCCUAACACAUGCAAGUCGAGCGAUGAAGUUCUUCGGAACGGAUUAGCGGCGGACGGGUGAGUAACGCGUGAGCAAUCUGCCUUACACAAAGGGAUAGCCUCGGGAAACUGGGAUUAAUACCAUAUGACACUUGGUAAUCGCAUGAGGACCAAGUCAAAGAUUUUAUCGGUGUAAGAUGAGCUCGCGUCUGAUUAGCUAGUUGGUGGGGUAAAGGCCUACCAAGGCGACGAUCAGUAGCCGGCCUGAGAGGGUGAACGGCCACACUGGAACUGAGACACGGUCCAGACUCCUACGGGAGGCAGCAGUGGGGAAUAUUGCACAAUGGGCGCAAGCCUGAUGCAGCGACGCCGCGUGAGCGAAGAAGGUUUUCGGAUCGUAAAGCUCUGUCCUCUGGGAAGAAAAAAUGACGGUACCAGAGGAGGAAGCCCCGGCUAACUACGUGCCAGCAGCCGCGGUAAUCA